rnacentral:rRNA from 1 species
AGCGAACGCUGGCGGCAGGCCUAACACAUGCAAGUCGAACGAUCCUUCGGGAUAGUGGCGGACGGGUGAGUAACACGUGGGAACGUGCCUUUUAGUUCGGGAUAACACAGGGAAACUUGUGCUAAUACCGGAUGAGCCCUUCGGGGGAAAGAUUUAUCGCUGAAAGAGCGGCCCGCGUUAGAUUAGCUAGUUGGUGGGGUAAUGGCCCACCAAGGCUACGAUCUAUAGCUGGUCUGAGAGGAUGAUCAGCCACACUGGGGCUGAGACACGGCCCAGACUCCUACGGGAGGCAGCAGUGGGGAAUCUUGCGCAAUGGGCGAAAGCCUGACGCAGCCAUGCCGCGUGAAUGAUGAAGGUCUUAGGAUUGUAAAAUUCUUUUAGCAGGGACGAUAAUGACGGUACCUGCAGAAAAAGCCCCGGCUAACUUCGUGCCAGCCGCCGCGGUAA